rnacentral:rRNA from 1 species
CCUACGGGAGGCAGCAGUGGGGAAUAUUGCACAAUGGGGGAAACCCUGAUGCAGCGACGCCGCGUGAGUGAGGAAGUAUUUCGGUACGUAAAGCUCUAUCAGCAGGGAAGAAAAUGACGGUACCUGACUAAGAAGCCCCGGCUAACUACGUGCCAGCAGCCGCGGUAAUACGAAGGGGGCAAGCGUUAUCCGGAUUUACUGGGUGUAAAGGGAGCGGAGACGGUUAAGCAAGUCAGAAGUGAAAGCCCAGGGCUCAACCUUGGGACUGCUUUUGAAACUGCGUAGCUAGAGUGCAGGAGAGGGAAGCGGAAUUCCUAGUGUAGCGGUGAAAUGCGUAGAUAUGAGGAGGAACACCAGUGGCGAAGGCGGCUUACUGGACUGUAACUGACGUUGAGGCUCGAAAGCGUGGGGAGCAAACAGGAUUAGAUACCCCGGUAGUC